rnacentral:rRNA from 1 species
AACGAACGCUGGCGGCAUGCCUAACACAUGCAAGUCGAACGAGACCUUCGGGUCUAGUGGCGCACGGGUGCGUAACGCGUGGGAACCUGCCCUUAGGUUCGGAAUAACUCCCCGAAAGGGGUGCUAAUACCGGAUAAUGUCUUCGGACCAAAGAUUUAUCGCCUUUGGAUGGGCCCGCGUUGGAUUAGCUAGUUGGUAGGGUAAAAGCCUACCAAGGCGACGAUCCAUAGCUGGUCUGAGAGGAUGAUCAGCCACACUGGGACUGAGACACGGCCCAGACCCCUACGGGAGGAAGGAGUGGGGAAUAUUGGACAAGGGGCGAAAGCCUGAUCCAGCAAUGCCGGGUGAGUGAUGAAGGCCUUGGGGUUGUAAAGCUCUUUUACCCGGGAUGAUAAUGACAGUACCGGGAGAAAAAGCCCCGGCCAACCCCGU